GACGAACGCUGGCGGCGUGCUUAACACAUGCAAGUCGAACGGAAAGGCCUGCUUUCCUUUGUGGAUUGCGGGUACUCGAGUGGCGAACGGGUGAGUAACACGUGAGUGAUCUGCCCCCAACUUGGGUAUAAGCCUGGGAAACUGGGUCUAAUUCCCGAUAGGACUGCAGGGUGGUGCCUGUGGUGGAAAACGAUUUUCUAGUGGUUGGGGAUGAGCUCGCGGCCUAUCAGCUUGUUGGUGGGGUAAUGGCCUACCAAGGCGGCGACGGGUAGCCGGCCUGAGAGGGUGGACGGCCACAUUGGGACUGAGAUACGGCCCAGACUCCUACGGGAGGCAGCAGUGGGGAAUAUUACACAAUGGGCGGAAGCCUGAUGCAGCGACGCCGCGUGGGGGAUGACGGCCUUCGGGUUGUAAACUCCUUUCGACCGCGAGGAAGCCACCUGGUUGGAAGGGUGGUGACGGUAGUGGUAGAAGAAGCACCGGCUAACUACGUG
rnacentral:rRNA from 1 species